UAUUAGCCAUAAGGUACAGGAUAACUGAAAGACCCUGGAGUGGGGAGACCCUCGCUCAAGUCUUGGGAUGAUGCGACCCCCCAAGAACUCACACAAAACU
rnacentral:pre_miRNA from 14 species